GGGUGAGUAAUGUCUGGGAAACUGCCUGAUGGAGGGGGAUAACUACUGGAAACGGUAGCUAAUACCGCAUAACGUCGCAAGACCAAAGAGGGGGACCUUCGGGCCUCUUGCCAUCAGAUGUGCCCAGAUGGGAUUAGCUAGUAGGUGGGGUAAUGGCUCACCUAGGCGACGAUCCCUAGCUGGUCUGAGAGGAUGACCAGCCACACUGGAACUGAGACACGGUCCAGACUCCUACGGGAGGCAGCAGUGGGGAAUAUUGCACAAUGGGCGCAAGCCUGAUGCAGCCAUGCCGCGUGUGUGAAGAAGGCCUUCGGGUUGUAAAGCACUUUCAGCGAGGAGGAAGGUGGUGAGCUUAAUACGCUCAUCAAUUGACGUUACUCGCAGAAGAAGCACCGGCUAACUCCGUGCCAGCAGCCGCGGUAAUACGGAGGGUGCAAGCGUUAAUCGGAAUUACUGGGCGUAAAGCGCACGCAGGCGGUUUGUUAAGUCAGAUGUGAAAUCCCCGGGCUCAACCUGGGAACUGCAUUUGAAACUGGCAAGCUAGAGUCUCGUAGAGGGGGGUAGAAUUCCAGGUGUAGCGGUGAAAUGCGUAGAGAUCUGGAGGAAAUACCGGUGGCGAA
rnacentral:rRNA from 1 species